rnacentral:rRNA from 1 species
AUUGAACGCUGGCGGCAGGCUUAACACAUGCAAGUCGAGCGGAGAUGAGGUGCUUGCACCUUAUCUUAGCGGCGGACGGGUGAGUAAUGCUUAGGAAUCUGCCUAUUAGUGGGGGACAACAUUCCGAAAGGAAUGCUAAUACCGCAUACGUCCUACGGGAGAAAGCAGGGGAUCUUCGGACCUUGCGCUAAUAGAUGAGCCUACGUCGGAUUAGCUAGUUGGUGGGGUAAAGGCCUACCAAGGCGACGAUCUGUAGCGGGUCUGAGAUGAUGAUCCGCCACACUGGGACUGAGACACGGCCCAGACUCCUACGGGAGGCAGCAGUGGGGAAUAUUGGACAAUGGGGGGAACCCUGAUCCAGCCAUGCCGCGUGUGUGAAGAAGGCCUUAUGGUUGUAAAGCACUUUAAGCGAGGAGGAGGCUACUGAGACUAAUACUCUUGGAUAGUGGACGUUACUCGCAGAAUAAGCACCGGCUAACUCUGUGCCAGCCGCCGCAGUAA